rnacentral:rRNA from 1 species
UACGUAGGGGGCGAGCGUUGUCCGGAAUCAUUGGGCGUAAAGAGCGUGUAGGCUGCUUGGCAAGUCUGACGUGAAAGCCCGCGGCUCAACCGCGGAUUGUCGUUGGAAACUGCCUCGCUAGAGUCCGGAAGGGGAGAGCGGAAUUCCUGGUGUAGCGGUGGAAUGCGCAGAUAUCAGGAAGAACACCCGUGGCGAAGGCGGCUCUCUGGGACGGUACUGACGCUGAGACGCGAAAGCGUGGGGAGCGAACAGG